UGAAGUCAGUUCAAAAGGUGGAGAUGAGGAGGUCGAAGAAAGGUGCUGGAGGCUCCGCCAGCUGAAGAAGCUGAACCUUCAAGUGCAGUUGGCGAGCAUCAAGGCCUGAAAAGAUGGCCAUGGUUCCGGUGGGACAGGAUUCUCCAGGACAGCUGGAGGAGUGGCGUCCACCGCAGAGCAAGGACAACAUCCGCCUGCCUCUAGCGAGUGGCACCGAGGGCGGUUCCCGCGGAGAGCCGCUACGUGAGGCCCUCAGCCCCUUCUUCAAGGUCCUGCUGGGUUUCCUUUUACUGGCAUUGAUCCUGGCUUUUGUGUGGAGGAAGCAUCUGAUAGGACAUUCCCUCAGACCAGAAGCGAUGACGCUCAGCUUCGACAACAGCAGUGUCUCCUCGCCCCUCAACAUUACCCUCUGAGAUCAUCAGUUGUACACUAACGCCCCCGUACGAGUAAAAUUGUGUUACAAUAUACAACAGCAGUCUGUAUAGCAUGGCUAACAGAAAUGGUUAGAGUCACCAAUAUUACGAGUCAUAUAAUCAAUCCCCCAAUCAUCAUCAUUAAAAUCAAGUUGUUGUUGUUGUUUUA